rnacentral:rRNA from 1 species
UACGUAGGGGGCGAGCGUUGUCCGGAUUUAUUGGGCGUAAAGAGCGUGUAGGCGGCCAGGUAGGUCUGCUGUGAAAACUCGAGGCUCAACCUCGAGACGUCGGCGGAAACCAUCUGGCUAGGGUCGGAAGAGGAGAGUGGAAUUCCUGGUGUAGCGGUGAAAUGCGCAGAUAUCAGGAAGAACACCCGUGGCUAAGGCGGCUCUCUAGUACGGUACUGACGCUGAGACGCGAAAGCGUGGGGAGCGAACAGG